CUCAGAUGAAGAUGGCAGUAGUUCCAGCUCCUCAAAAUGGAAGAAGCGUAAGAGAAAGAAAAAAAAGGGAAAUGUAAAAAAAGGAAAAAAGGAGAAGAAAAAGAGAAAGCGAAAGAAAAAGGGAAAUAAAGCACAAAUCUGUAUCAAACAAGAGUUCAGACUCUGACUGCAAAGUAAUUUCCUUUUAAUCCAUCUUGUCAUUCCAGAAUCAUAGCUGAAUGUCAGAGGUAACGAAGUAACCACUGUGACAGAGGCUGGCACAUAAGAAAAGUGCCAGACUGAAAAGUAUGUGGAACUGAUCAUAUCAGUGGGGGAGGGACCCCAAGGGAUUGGAAUCUUGAGUAGCAGAAGACUAUGGCUGGUAGAGGAGUUGCUCUCUCAGUCUUGAGAAACCAAAGAGAGAAGGUGGAAAAAUACUUUCUCCUGAGGGUUACCCACCUUUCCUGCUGGUGACUAGAAAUAUUUUCCCCCAACAUUUUCCAGUUGAAAAGACUAUUGAAGAGGAAACCUGAUAAAGACAUUUUAAAUCUCGGUCUGACUUUACUUCAGCUCCUGUUGCCCUGAGUCUGAACUGUGGUCAAAGGGCCAAACACAGGAAAAAAAUAUCAGCAUAUAUGGCUAAGACAACAUGGUUAAACAUGAUGGAGGCAUGUCAGAGGGAAGUACUAUGCAAAACACAACCUCAUGUUACAAGAUGGGGAGAGAAAGAUGCACCCUGGUCAUCUGUAUGUGUUUAGCUAUUUUGGGGAGAUGGAGUCAGUGUGGAGAAAAGCUUAUUCCAGACAACCAUCUGGUUGGUAGUAGUCUCUCAGUAACCGAGGAUGACGAUUGUCUUUGUGCGUUUUUGUGCACAAAGACACUUGUGCAUGAAGAUUUAAGUGGAAAAGUCGAUGCACAGAGACAGUCCCACUCUCUCAGCAUUGGAAGCCUGGGUCCAGUGGCACGAAAAGUCGUUACACCUGGAGACUUCCUCAGCUGCAAUGGAUGGCCUUGUUGUCUUUUGUGCUCCAACAUGCCCUGAGCACUCCACAGUGCUUUGCUGCGUCACCAUCUCAGCAGUUGAACCUUCUUGUUGGUUUCUUCCACCUGUUCCGCCGAAACAGUCUUCACAUGCUGGGUGAGCAAAGCCCUAGUUCACCAGGGGUCCACGACGACCCGAUGGCUACCCUCACAAGGUUUAGCUGGCCUGUCGAAGCCAUUGCCCGGGGUGUGGCCACUGCCGCAUGCUAGCAGCUACUGGGAGCCACAAGUGAGAGCUGGGUGUCAGGUAAGAGUCAUAGGCUGGAGAGCUGCCCUAGGAGGGCACGACAAGCCCUCCAUACCAAAGAUAUUACACCUUCCUGAGCACCCCAUACACCCCAUUCCUACUAUUGUAGGUAGAGACUUUGUAUAGAAUAUGUAGAGACUUUUCUAUGGCUGCUAAUCUUUUAAAACUGCAUGUCUGUUUUACUGACUAUAUUUCUGGAGCUAUUUUAUUUGCAUUUGCAGUUCUUUCCUUUCACAGUUUCCAUUCAUAGACUUUCCUUCACAAGGACUAUUAUUGAUUGUUGAUUAUUGCUAGGGCUGUUCGUGUUGCUGCUCAUGACUAGGGCUUUUUUUAAUCAGAU
ensembl:lncRNA